rnacentral:lncRNA from 1 species
ACAAACAAGUGAUUCCCAAGGAAGGCUUGGAAACCUUAUGGGAAAUCUUGAUGGACAUAGAGGACAUUUUUAUCCAACUGAAUCCUUAUGGUGGAAGAAUGGAAGAGAUCUCAGAGUCGGAGACAGCAUUUGCACAUAGAGCUGGAAACCUUUACAAAGUACAAUAUACCGUGCUGUGGUCGGAGUCUGACGGAGGCAUCAGCGCUGAAGAGCGGUACGUUGAACUGUCAAGAAGAUUGUACAGUGCAAUGACUCCAUACGCAUCCAGCAACCCAAGGGAGGCAUUCAUCAACUACAGAGAUCUUGACAUUGGCAGCAACGAAAGCAACAACACAGAUUUUGCAGUUGCCAGCGUUUAUGGAGCUAAGUAUUUCAAGAACAAUUUCCUGAGAUUGACACGUGUGAAAGCCUUGAUAGACCCUGAAAAUUUCUUCAAAAAUGAACAAAGCAUUCCGCCAUUGCCGACUCACAAGUUCUAAUGAGGAGGAUAACCUGUGCUGCCCUUGUCAAACGUCACCGCUCCCAACCGUUAUAUUUUGUACGACCCUACAAUAAAAGAAAAUAAAAGCUUGUGUGAAAUAUCUUCUGAAUUUUUAUUUCUUAAAGGCAAGACUCGACUUUUUGCCAUUUAUUUGUUAUUAUUGCUUGUAAUUAACACCAUAUUGUUCUAUAUCUGUAAUAAAGAAUAAUUUAAUAUUUGUGUAAUUCAACAAGAAGAUAUUUCUAUGUAAUAAAGAAUAUGUGAUUUGAUCAUCUAUUAUUUUUUUUGUUCACAGUCAAAAUAAGAUAAUUUUAUUAAUAUAAAAAAUGAUGCAAUUGUUCAGAUCUCGAUAUAAUUAAGAUAUGUAAACAAAUAAAAAUUAGAGCCUCAUUGGAAACAUAAAAAAUCAAGACAAAUAAAUAGUUCUUAAUUAUUUAACACUAUCAUUUUCUAUUGCAAUAAAAAAAAUGAUUAGGUCAUCUAUUGUUUCUUUUAGUCAGAAUAAAAUAAUUUUAUUCAGAUCAAAAAAUUGAAGUAAUAGCUUAUAUCUCAAUAUAAUUGAGAUAAAUAAACAAUUAAAAAUCAGAUAUUUAUUGAUAUAUAAAGAAUCAAAACAAAUAAAUAACUCUUAUUCCAUGCAGUCAGUAAACGUAAAACCUUUCUUUAUAAUAAAAUAUAUAUGAUUGGAUCAUCUAUUUUCUUUUAGUCAAAACAAGAUAAUUUUAAUCAUUAAUAUAAAAAAUUGAUACAAUUGUUCAUUUCUCAAUGUAAUUAAGGUAAGUAAACAAUUAAAAAUUAGAGACUCAUUCGAAAUAUAAAAAUUCAAGACAAAUAAAUAUAUAGCUCGUAUUUCACAUUAUCAUUUUUUUGUAAUAAAGAAUAUAUGAUUCGAUCAUCUAUUAUUUCUUUUCGUCAAAAUAAGAUAAUUUGAUUAAUAUAAAAAAAUUGAUACAAUUACUGAUACCUCGAUAUAAUUGAAAUAAAUAAAUAAUUAAAAACACGUUUUUAUGUAACUAAAUUUGACUAAAACUAAUUUAAAGAGCUUGAUAUAUUUAUGGCCUUUGGUCCUUAAAAAAGAAGGAUAAGAUUGGCGGCUAGCCUCUUGGGCAAGUCAAAUCCAGCGGUGAAGUACGUAGCCAAUUCAUAGUUUAUCCCAUUUCUCUCUUGCAUUUUCUCUCCAUCCAAAAAGGAUGACCACAACAUAAUUAUCCAAUUCCAAACUCAAAAUUUCCUUUAUAAGAUAUAUAUGAAAAAUAUUAGACCUAGCUAUUUCUUGCUUGAAAUUCCUGUUCGAGAAACAUUGACUAUACCCAAAGUCAAAAGUCCAGGUUUCUUAUGGAUUGAAAACGUGUACCAUCAAACAUACCAGAAAGAUGAAAUUGUCUGAUUCACAAGCUAACGAACGAGAAGAUUGAAUUUGAACCUAUAUAUAUGUUCUGCACUGAUCUAAAAAGCCCUGGAUGUACGCUGUUGACAAUAUGAGUGUUGCAGUAUAUUUUUCUUCAAAGGCAUUGAAAUUUGUAUAGAGUCAUUAAAAGAGAGAUUGUUCCCAAUGAACAGAACCCUGGAUAUUUUGCAACUUAGCAUACAGCAUAUCUUUAUGUAACACCUCUGAUUAGACUAAAUCGUCUGUUAGAGAAUUUGUCUCUCUAAAUAUGUGAACGAAAGGAGAAACUUGUAUUGUUUCUCUUACAUUUCUCAAUGCAAUUUGCAAUGUGAAUCAUUCAUUAGGACUUUCGAGAAUGAUUACUGAGCCAUAAGAUUGUGUGUUUUCGAGUCACUUUCAAUAAUGAAAAAGUGCAUCAAAUCCUAUAUAUGCACUAACAGGCAGAAGUCUGUGAUCUAUUCCUCUGUCUAGUGAUUGCUCAUGGGGGUGGAAGAAAAUCUUGAAACUAAGAAACUAUAUCAAACCCUAUGUGCAAAACAUAAUAGAUUAUGGAAAACCCACAGAUUUUUGGUUUGAUUACUGCCAACCUAAAGGGCCUUUGUUGCUUAUGCACUAUAAUUUCAUGAUCUCUUCCUUUUCAAGUAAAUGGGGUAAAUGCACUCGAAUAUUUAACUCAUUGAUUGAUACAUGAUCUCUAUUUAAAAAAUAAUAUUUAAAUCCCCUUCUUCAAUUUAAAAAAAAAAUAAAAGGGACAACUGUAGUUAAUGUUGCACUCUUCCCUUUCAAGCAGAAAGGAACAAUUGUCAUUAAUGCUGCAGGUUUGGUUUGGCCUCUGGCUAGAUCAGAUGAUUUAGUGGAGACUCAAUGCUCCUCAUAUGAUGCUAUUAUUCUUAAUCCGAGACGGAAAGAUGAAGCCAUCUGGACUUAGUCUAGCAAUGGAAUGGGAAGUUUACAAUCUCUAGUACUUUGAAUAUCGUUAGACAUAGAAAACCAUCUUCUCUUGAGCCUUAUAGAGAAGAAACACUGCUUACCAGUUACUUGAAGAAGAGUACUAUCGUUCGAAAGAUUUUAAUAAUUUAGAUAGAUGACAUGAUUUUGAGGUCGACACAAGAAAGGGGCCAUGAGAUCAGGGUAGGGGUUUUGCAUUCCUAGCUCCAUCUUUAUACAUGUACAAAUUAAAUUCAAAUUAUACUUAAAUGACUCUUAAUUAUCAAAUUAAUAUAUAAUUAAUUACAUUCAAUAAAAGAAACAAAUUAGCAAAUCAACAUAUUAGUAUAUAGUUAAAAAUUAGUCAAAAUACCCACCAAGUCUUGUACCCAUGCAUUUUAUUCAAUUUAGUCUAUGUACUCAAAAUUGAAAUAAUUUAAUCUCUUGAUUUUAGAAAUUGUUUCAAUUUAGUUCCUCUCACUAACGGUAUCAAAUUUUAUUGUUAAAAGCAUGAUGUUAGCACUGACAUCAACGUUGAUGUGGCAUAUUUUGCUGGUGUGGCACCAACUUGAUGGCAUGGCAGCGCCACAUGACCCUAAUAUGUGACGUGUCAGUGCUACAUGAUAGAUAAAAAAAUUUUCGAAAAAAUUUUUUAUGCUACGUCAUAAAGACUAAAUUAAACAAAAAUAUAUAGUACAGGGACUAAGUUAAACAAAAUUGAGAUUUUGAGGGGCUAAAUUGAAAAAAAUAUUUGAAAAAUAUAAAUCUUUAAGUAGAUGAUAGAUAUACUUAUUAAUAAGUUAAAUAUUUAAGUAUAAAAGAUUUAUGGUGUUAUAAAUAUAUAUAAAUAUUUUCUUUAUUUUUUGAUCGUAGAAUAUGUAUAUUAAUUUAUCUUUUUUACAAAAAUUAAGUUUGAAUUCUCUUUCUAUAAAAAAAUUUCAAAAAAAUUUCAUACCUAAAGUUAAAUUUAAAUAAAUAACUUGCACUACAUUCAAAUAAAAUAAUAUAAAAAAACUAAAUAAAAUUUUUUUCUAUUUAUAAUAGUAUAAAAAUUUGAAAUUUAUUUGACUUGACUUUUAACUUGAGUUGAACUCAAAUUAGCAUGAUAAGUUGACUUAGUUUUUUUAAAAAAAAAAUGAAAAAGUGAGAUAUAGAGUUAGCAAUUAUUAUAAAAAUAAUUCUUCAUUUUGACUUACUUAAUUUGGGCAUGACAAACUUCUUAUUAUAAUCAUAAAAUCUGAGUUACUCCACCUCUUCAAUUAUUUAUUUUUUUAUGUUUUUGUUUUAUCUAAUAUUUCAGGUUAUAUUCUUUAGGUUGAAAUUUCUUGGAUUAAAGACUAUAGUUAUGGUUGAUAGAGUUAAAUAUAAUUAUAAAUAUUUAUACAAUUUUAUAUUGUAUUUACAAUUUUUUUGUAGAUAUAAGUUAAUAAUUUAAAUUUAAAUUUAACAAAAUUUGAUUAUUUGAACUUAAAUAAAUCGUUUUAUAAGAACCUUUGAGUAAAUUUAAAUAAAAGUAAAUUGGGUAAGGGUUAAAUAAUUCCAAAAGGAUGAAUAUUUGUAAAUUGUAAAAGUUGUAACUAAAUCAACCUAUUUUACUUAUUUGAGUUUAAUUCAAGUUAGAAACUAAGUCAAAUAAAUUUUAAAUUUUUAUACUAUUAUAAAUAGAAUAAAAAAAUUUAUUUAGUCUUUUUACAUUAUUUUAUUCUAACAUAAUGCAAGUUGUUCAUCUAAAUUUAUCUAUAGGUAUGAAAUUUUUUUCAAAUUCUUUUUAUAGAAGAAAAAUUCAAACUUAAUUUUUGCAAAGAAGAUAAAUUUAUAUACAUAUUUUAGAAUCAAAUAAUUAAGUAAGAAAAUAUUUAUAUAUUUUUUAACAUUAUAAAUCUUUUACACUUAAAUAUUUAGCUUAUUAAUAAGUAUAUCUAUUAUCUACUUAAAGAUUUGUAUUUUUCAAAUAUUGUUUCAAUGUAGUCCCUCAACAUCUCAAUUUUGUUUCAUUUAGUCUAUGUACUAUAUAUUUUUGUUCAACUUAAUCUUUAUGAUGUGACACAAAAAAAAAUUUUAAAAUUUUUUAUUUGCCACAUGGCACUGACACGUCAGCAUGUCAGUGCCACAUCAUCAUAUUAGGGCCACAGGGCACAGCUAGGUCAUCAUGUGAGUGUCAUGUCAUCAGAAUAUGUCAUAUCAGUACUGAUGUCAACGCUAACGUCAUCCUUUUAACGGUAAAAUUAAAUAUCAUUAGUAAGAAGAACUAAUUGAAGUGAUUUUCAAAACUAAGGAACUAAAUUGUUUCGAUUUUUAGUACAAGGACUAAAUUGAAUAAAAUGCAUAGGUAUAGGGACUUGGUGGGUAUGUUAGCCUUUAAAAAUUUUAACUUAAAGUUAGAUCAUUAAUUAUUGGCAAUAUAUAUGUCAAAUAAAAAAAUUAGAGAAUUUACAAAGUCAAAAACAAUUAAAGAAUUUACGAAAAGUCUAAGAAUGAUAUAUUCAAUUUUGAGAACACAAAUCGUCUGCCCCUGUUUUGUGCCUCGUUUAGUGCCCCUCUUAUAACUUGAUGUCAUGUGUAUGAUAGGUUUUUAUUUGUUAACGUCAGCUGUUAGGUCAUUUGUACUGCCGUUAAGUAUAAUUUCAGUCUAGGCUAACAUCAACACUUUACAGCCUCCUCUUUUCCACACUUCUCUCUUCAAAUCUUUGAUCAAAGUCAAGGAACAUUUUUACAUAAAGUUUUUUUUUCUGUUUUCUCUUCAUAUAUAUUCUGAUGAUGGUAAUAAAAAAUUAAAGAAGGAGAAGAUAAUUAAGAAGAAGAAGAAGAAGAAAAAGAGGCAAAAUGUAUAUUCUGCCAUUAGUUGUUAUUGUUUCCAGGGCGGUUAGAUAUUAACCUCAGUCUUAUUUGACAUAAUGUUGUCUUUGAUCUUCCUAUGAUGCCCAUCAACAUUCUCAUACUCCUGUGCCAAUAAGCAUCCAUCAACAUUCUCAUACUCCUGUAGCGAUCAGCAUCCAUAUCUGAGGUAAAAGACUUUUGGGUACUCUUUUUUGUCCAAUCAUGCUUGCCAGAGUCAAAAUCUUCAGAUGAAUAAGAGCACUUAUGUUUGCUCUUCUUAUGAUGCCUAUAAAACUCUGUUUUUUUCUUAGAAAUUAUGAAAUUUAUUGAGUAAUCGUAAAAUCGCAUUACUUUGAUUAAUGAGUGAUCAACUAGAGCAUCGAUUAUAUUUAAUUUAAUAUACAAAAAGUUUGUAUCGACAAUCCAUCCUUAGACUCAAUUAUACAACAAAAAAUUAUGUUUUCAAUUCUUACUCAAUCUUAUAAAUUAACUGAUGAGUUAAUCUGCAGCGUCUUUAAAUGAAUAAGAAUAUUUGUGUCUUCUCUUACUCUAAUGCUUAUCGAAAUUUGAUUAUCAAAAGAGCAUGUUUUAGAAUAAUUUUACCUCUUUUUCUUCUUCUUCUUAGUUAUCUUCUCCUUGUUUGAUUUUUUAUUACCAUCAUCAGAAUAUACAUGCAAAGCAAACAGAAAAAAAACUUAUGUAAAAAUGUUCCUUGACUUCGAUCAAAGAUUUGAUGAGGGAAGUGUGGAAAAGAGGAGGCUGUAAAGUGUUAAUAUUAACCUAGACUACUAAACGGCAGUACAAAUGACCUAACAGCUGACGUUAACAAAUCAAAACCUAUCAUAGACGUGGCAUCAAAUUAUAAGAGGGGCACAAAACAGGGGCAGACGAUUUGUGUUCCAAUUUCGGGCACAUCCAGAACGAAAAUGAAUUUUGUUUUGAAAUAUUCUUGGUCUUCUUUCUAAACCUUUCAGACUUGAUCUGGAAUUGAUCCAAACGACCCUCUCCUCUCUAUAUAAACACAUAUAUUGAACCAACAGAAGUGCACAAGCCCAUUAAAGAUCUCGAGAUUCUUUGUGAAAAAAUGAAAGCUUCAAGCUCUAUACUAUCCAUCGUUUCAAUGCUCUUGUUAUCAAUUUCAUUGGUAACAUCAGAAUCAGCUCUUGAUAAUUUCCUGCAAUGCCUUCCUCAACAUUCCAACCCUUCUAAUCCAAUCUCUGAUGCCAUAUACACUCCCAACAAUGCCUCCUUUCAAUCUAUUUACGAGUUACGUGCAAAUAACCUUAGAAUCUUAUCUUCUGUAACCUCCAAACCAGUGGCCAUUAUCACAGCCCUGCAUGAAUCCCAUGCUCAAGCCACUGUCAUUUGCGCCAAGCGCCAUGGCUUCCAAGUAAGAAUUCGAAGCGGGGGUCACGAUUAUGAGGGCCUAUCCUAUACAUCAGACGUCCCAUUCGUCAUUCUUGAUAUGUUUAAUCUUAGGUCUAUACAGAUUGAUAUGGCAAGCGAGACCGCAUGGGUUCAGGCAGGGGCGACCACAGGCGAACUGUAUUACCGGAUAGCCGAGAAAAGCAAAGUCCAUGGCUUCCCAUCUGGAGUUUGCACUACUCUUGGCAUUGGUGGACACUUCAGUGGAGGUGGCUACGGCCCCCUAAUGAGAAAAUACGGCCUUUCUAUCGAUAACGUCAUUGACGCACAAUUGAUCGAUGCCAAUGGUCGAAUCCUUAACAGAAAGUCCAUGGGAGAAGAUGUGUUUUGGGCAAUCCGAGGAGGUGGAGGAACUAGCUUUGGAAUCAUCCUCUCAUGGACGAUCAAGCUGGUUCGUGUUCCUGCUAAGGUGACUGUUUUCAACGUGCAGAGGACUUUGGAUCAAGGUGCAACAGAUCUUUCUUAUCGUUGGCAACAAGUUGCCCCUAACCUGCCUAAAGAUCUCUUCCUCAGACUUCAGGCUGAGCCUAUAACUGGAACUGGCAGUGGCAACAAAACCAUACGAGUUUCAUUCAUCGCCCAUUUUCUUGGACAAACUGAUAGACUUAUCCAACUGAUGAACGCCAACUUCCCUGAAUUGGGUUUGCAGCGAAGUGACUGCAUUGAAAUGAGUUGGGUCGAAUCCACCCUCUUCUGGGCCGGCUUCCCCAAUGGAACUUCCAUUGACGUCUUGCUCAAUAGAGUGCAAGAGGACAGAGACUUCUACAAGACUAAGUCCGAUUACUACAAAAAGGUGAUUCCUAAGGAAGGCUUGGAAACCUUAUGGGAAAUCUUAAUGGACAUAGAGGACAUUGUUAUCCAACUGAAUCCUUAUGGUGGAAGAAUGGAAGAGAUCUCAGAGUCGGAGACAGCAUUUGCACAUAGAGCUGGAAACCUUUACAAAGUACAAUAUACCGUGCUGUGGUCGGAGUCUGACGGAGGCAUCAGCGCUGCAGAGCGGUACGUUGAACUGUCAAGAAGAUUGUACAGUGCAGUGACUCCAUACGCAUCAAGCAACCCAAGGGAGGC